GUGCAGCCAACUGUUCAAAUAAGAUACUGUACCCAGUUUUCUUGAAGAGCUGAGCAGGCUCGGGGGGAGCAGAAAACACAAGAACCGUCUUUCCCUACUCGAUGCUUCUGCACGGAAAACCUGGCCUUGACUCACUGACACGCAUUUCCCUCACACGUCCGGUGGCAUUAAACUGCCAGCAGCACCACGGCCAGGUGUCAGUGACCCUGUCUCUUGUCCUUCCCAGAGCAUCAUGGGGACAGAAAGUAACACCUGGACACUGCCAAGAGCCAGCAUAGGUGUGUGCCUUGGCUCCCGGGCCUGAGUGUCUGUCUCCCUCACUCCCCUACAAGGUAACUAAGAAAAAUAUCCCAAAGUUUCCAAUUCUCUCAAUUAUUUUCAAAACUAGUUUAGAAAAGGACCCCCUAACCCUGGGGGAGGGCAAGCCAGAGCCCAGAGGCUGGCAGGAGGACGCAGGGCCAGGCGUCCUGGGGCAGGCUCCCCUCCACUCAUUCAGCCCAGCCGUCCUGGAAGGAAUCCUGCCCCACGGCCCAGGGUCCCUGCAUGCAGAGGGUGGAGGGCAGUCCGCCUCUCACCCCACCUGGGAGAAGCACAUGCCUGGUUCUCAGCCCAGGGGGAGCCAGCUUCCUCCCUCCCCUGCUCCUCCGGGUUAGCAUCUCCCCCUGGGCCGUAAACACGGCUCUCUCUUGUUCAGUGGCCCCUCAGAAACGGCCACCCAGGCCUCUGGCCAGGCACGCCCAGUCACUGGGGGGUGGACAGCAGGCUCCACACACCCAGGUCUGGGAGGAGGGAGGGUGUACUCAGCCCACUCACCUUAUGGAAUCUUCCAGUCACACCAGGCGGUCGGGGCUACCUCUUCUCUACUCCAAGGCUCUUGUAAACAGUGACUUUUUGAAAAAGG
rnacentral:lncRNA from 1 species